AGAAGGGCUGAAGCUCAGUGGUAGGUCAUCUGCUUUGCAUGCAGAAGGUCUCAGGUUCAAUCCCUUGCCCAUCCA